rnacentral:rRNA from 1 species
CCUACGGGCGGCAGCAGUGGGGAAUAUUGGACAAUGGGCGAAAGCCUGAUCCAGCCAUGCCGCGUGUGUGAAGAAGGCCUUCGGGUUGUAAAGCACUUUCAGUGGGGAAGAAAGCCUUGGGGCUAAUACCCUCGAGGAAGGACAUCACCCACAGAAGAAGCACCGGCUAACUCCGUGCCAGCAGCCGCGGUAAUACGGAGGGUGCGAGCGUUAAUCGGAAUUACUGGGCGUAAAGCGCGCGUAGGCGGUCUGAUAAGCCGGUUGUGAAAGCCCCGGGCUCAACCUGGGAACGGCAUCCGGAACUGUCAGGCUAGAGUGCAGGAGAGGAAGGUAGAAUUCCCGGUGUAGCGGUGAAAUGCGUAGAGAUCGGGAGGAAUACCAGUGGCGAAGGCGGCCUUCUGGACUGACACUGACGCUGAGGUGCGAAAGCGUGGGUAGCAAACAGGAUUAGAUACCCCUAGUC